GACGAACGCUGGCGGCGUGCUUAACACAUGCGAGUCGAACGGAAAGGCCCCUUUGGGGGUACUCGAGUGGCGAACGGGUGAGUAACACGUGAGUAACCUGCCCUUGACUUCGGGAUAACUUCAGGAAACUGGGUCUAAUACCGGAUAGGAAUCCUUGCUGCAUGGUGGGGGGUGGAAAGCUUCGGGGGUUUUGGAUGGACGCACGGCUUAUCAGCUUGUUGGUGGGGUAGUGGCUUACCAAGGCUUUGACGGGUAGCCGGCCCGAGAGGGCGACCGGCCACAUUGGGAAUGAGAUACGGCCCAGACUCCUAAGGGAGGCAGGAGGGGGGAAUAUUGCACCAUGGGCGGAAGCCCGAUGCAGCAACGCCGCGUGCGGGAUGAAGGCCUUCGGGUUGUAAACCGCUUUCAGCAGGGGAGAAGCUUGUGGUGACGGUACCUGCAGAAGAAGCACCGGCUAACUACGUG
rnacentral:rRNA from 1 species